rnacentral:rRNA from 1 species
CAGUAACGGCGAGUGAAGCGGUAACAGCUCAAAUUUGAAAUCUGGCCUCACGGUCCGAGUUGUAAUUUGUAGAGGAUGCUUCGAGCAUGGUCUGGCCUAAGUUCCUUGGAACAGGACGUCAUAGAGGGUGAGAAUCCCGUAUGCGGCCAGGUGCCUACGCUCAUGUGAAGCUCCUUCGACGAGUCGAGUUGUUUGGGAAUGCAGCUCAAAAUGGGUGGUAAAUUUCAUCUAAAGCUAAAUAUUGGCCAGAGACCGAUAGCGCACAAGUAGAGUGAUCGAAAGAUGAAAAGCACUUUGGAAAGAGAGUUAAACAGUACGUGAAAUUGUUGAAAGGGAAGCGCUUGCAACCAGACUUGCGCGCGGCCGAUCAUCCGGUGUUCUCACCGGUGCACUCGGCCGUGCUCAGGCCAGCAUCGGUUUUGGCGGCUGGAUAAAGGCCCUAGGAAUGUGGCUCCUCUCGGGGAGUGUUAUAGCCUAGGGUGCAAUGCAGCCUGCUGGGACCGAGGACCGCGCUUCGGCUAGGAUGCUGGCGUAAUGGUUGUAAGCGGCCCGUCUUGAAACACGGACCAAGGAGUCUAACAUCUAUGCGAGUGUUUGGGUGUCAAACCCAUACGCGUAAUGAAAGUGAACGGAGGUGAGAACCCUUAAGGGUGCAUCAUCGACCGAUCCUGAUGUCUUCGGAAGGAUUUGAGUAAGAGCAUAGCUGUUGGGACCCGAAAGAUGGUGAACUAUGC